rnacentral:rRNA from 1 species
UACGUAGGGGGCAAGCGUUGUCCGGAUUUAUUGGGCGUAAAGAGCGUGUAGGCGGUUAUACAGGUCCGCUGUGAAAACUGGAGGCUUAACCUCCAGACGUCGGUGGAAACCGUAUGACUAGAGUCCGGAAGAGGAGAGCGGAAUUCCUGGUGUAGCGGUGAAAUGCGCAGAUAUCAGGAAGAACACCCGCGGCGAAGGCGGCUCUCUGGGACGGUACUGACGCUGAGACGCGAAAGCGUGGGGAGCGAACAGG